GUUCCUGCUGGCAUUUCUCAGGUGACAAACACAAAGUGCCAGAGGCUGAAUUGUGGGCACGAUAUUCAAGUGUGUGACGGAUGAAGAGUCUGCAAGAGGACAUGGCUACAAAGCUGUUGGCUGGGAUACUCCUGAUUACCUACAUGUGUGAAGGAGCAGCACUGCUGAGAAAACCGACAGCAUCUGACUUCUUGCAAAAAAUAAGCAAGAAGCGUGCGGCGGAGUGUUUUCCUGGAGGCUGCAGCUCCGAGGUCAGCGAGACUGAAGAACUGAUAGAAAUGAAUGUAACAUAUGAGGAGAUUUCCAGCCGGCUGUACAAUGGAGAUGCUGCCCAGAAAGAAAGAAACUACCUGAACCCUGGAAGAGAAGCGAUGGUGGAUGAAGGAUCUGGGAUGUAGCCAAGAAGGAAAGCACAAGAUGAUGAUGUUAUCCAGUAAAAGGAAGCUUUGGGUUUCCUAAAAGCAUCCUGGUGCCACGGACGGUCAACUCUGUUUGAUAAGAUCUGAAGAGAAAAACAACAAGAUUACAAGUGUACAAUUAUGUUAUUAUAGGCUAAAUAUGAUCUGUACUGCAAACUUUGAACAUUUAUGGAAUUAAGAGGGAGAGUUUUGUAAGAAUACAUUUGCAUGAAAGAUGUCCCUUUAAGUGCAAAUAUUAAGAGUUUGAUUACAUAAAGAGCAUUUUUCACUUGUUACCUCGAAUUAUUGUUGUUUUAAGUGGCCAGGUUAUUAAGCUGGAAAUUGAUGAAAAUAGGUGUCUCGGCUAAUGUAUAAGCGGGAAUCCAGUUAAUCUGUUAUAUUAGUUUUACUUAACUAAAUACAGGGAUAAACCAAUACCCUAAGAUGCUUAAAAAGUAAUAAUACUGAGUUUGUUUUUAGUAUUUUUGAGUUCACAAUAAAAACAUGUUAAGUGCAAACUAACAAAUGCUGACAAGUUAUACAUAAACAUUUUAAUAAAUGUAUAAUCAUUUUUG